rnacentral:rRNA from 1 species
UGGGGAAUAUUGGACAAUGGGCGAAAGCCUGAUCCAGCCAUGCCGCGUGUGUGAAGAAGGUCUUCGGAUUGUAAAGCACUUUAAGUUGGGAGGAAGGGCAGUAAGCGAAUACCUUGCUGUUUUGACGUUACCGACAGAAUAAGCACCGGCUAACUCUGUGCCAGCAGCCGCGGUAAUACAGAGGGUGCAAGCGUUAAUCGGAAUUACUGGGCGUAAAGCGCGCGUAGGUGGUUCGUUAAGUUGAAUGUGAAAGCCCCGGGCUCAACCUGGGAACUGCAUCCAAAACUGGCGAGCUAGAGUACGGCAGAGGGUGGUGGAAUUUCCUGUGUAGCGGUGAAAUGCGUAGAUAUAGGAAGGAACACCAGUGGCGAAGGCGACCACCUGGGCUCAUACUGACACUGAGGUGCGAAAGCGUAGGGAGCAAACAGG